GACGAACCGUGCGAACGUUGUUCGGAAUCACUGGGCUUAAAGGGCGCGUAGGCGGGUCGGAAAGUCCGCGAUGAAAUCCCCCCGCUCAACGGGGGAACGGCCGCGGAUACUGUCGGCCUCGAGGGGGGUAGGGGCGAGCGGAACGCUGGGUGGAGCGGUGAAAUGCGUUGAUAUCCAGCGGAACUCCGGUGGCGAAGGCGGCUCGCUGGACCUUCACUGACGCUGAGGCGCGAAAGCGUGGGGAGCAAACAGG
rnacentral:rRNA from 1 species